rnacentral:rRNA from 1 species
AGUCUUAUGUUAAAACCUUCCGCUCACCCCUAGCAUUGCAUCAGAAACUGUUGAACUUGAGUGCAGAAGAGGAGAGUGGAACUCCAUGUGUAGCGGUGGAAUGCGUAGAUAUAUGGAAGAACACCAGUGGCGAAGGCGGCUCUCUGGUCUGCAACUGACGCUGAGGCUCGAAAGCAUGGGUAGCGAAC